GCGGUUCCGGUUCACGUCAAGCCUCCCUUUUGCAGGCACGCUCCCAUGCGAGCGGACGACCCGGCGGCC
rnacentral:ncRNA from 1 species